rnacentral:lncRNA from 1 species
ACUUCCGACGCCGGCGAGGCUUUUCCGGCGAGAAAUUGGAUGGCACAAGGACGGGUCUCCGCGGGAUUUUUCCGACGAUUGCCGCCGUUUGAGCUUAGAAUUUUCGGUGGAAAGGAGAGAGGAGGGAUCUCCUCCUUAAAUAGGGCCGGAGAGAACUUGUUUCCGACUCCGAUUAGGAGCCGGUGAACGGAGGAAGAAGACUCCCUUCGGGAGUUCU